GUCUGUAUGAAGUUAUAUAGAGUCUAGCCUGCCCAAUGAAUUUUAUUUUAAAAGGCCGCAGUAAUUUGACUGUGCAAAGGUAGCAUAAUAAUUAGUUUUUUAAUUGAAGGCUUGUAUGAAUGGUUGGACAAAGAAACCCCUGUCUUUUUUAUUAUCUUUGAAUUUCACAUUUAAGUGAAAAGGCUUAAAUAAACUUAAGGGACGAUAAGACCCUAUAAAUCUUUACAUUGAAUUAAUUUUUUUUACAGUUUGUAAGACUUAAUAAUGUUAUGUUGGGGCAACAAAGAUAAAAAAAAUAACUGUUCUAUAAAAUAAACAUUUAUAUAUGAAUGAGAUAAAAGAUCCUUAAAAAAGAUUAGAAGUUUAAGUUACUUUAGGGAUAACAGCGUUAUUUUUUUUGAAAGUUCUUAUUGAAAAAAAAGUUUGCGACCUCGAUGUUGAAUUAAAAUUUCUCUACGGUGCAGCAGUUGUAAGAGAGAGUCUGUUCGACUUUUAAAAUUUU
rnacentral:rRNA from 1 species